rnacentral:tRNA from 1 species
GCGGGUGUGGCGGAACGGUAAACGCACCAGCCUUAGGAGCUGGCGCCAAAAGCUUGUAGGUUCGAAUCCUAUCGCCCGCACCA